UGCCUAGAGCCGGAUUUGAACCAGCGACCUAAGGAUCACUGAUUUAACACCUAUAGUCCUCCACUCUGCCAACUGAGCUAUCGAGGU
rnacentral:tRNA from 1 species